UGGGCAAUAUUGCACAAUGGAGGGAACUCUGAUGCAGCGACGCCGCGUGAACGAAGAAGGCUUUCGAGUCGUAAAGUUCUUUUAUAUGGGAAGAUAAUGACGGUACCAUAAGAAAAAGCCCCGGCUAACUACGUGCCAGCAGCCGCGGUAAUACGUAGGGGGCUAGCGUUGUCCGGAAUCACUGGGCGUAAAGGGUUCGCAGGCGGAAAUGCAAGUCAGGUGUCAAAGGCAGUAGCUUAACUACUGUAAGCAUUUGAAACUGCAUAUCUUGAGAAGAGUAGAGGUAAGUGGAAUUUUUAGUGUAGCGGGGAAAUGCGUAGAUAUUUAAAAGAAUACCGGUGGCGUAGGCUACUUACUAGGCUCAUACUGACGCUGAGGAACGAAAGAGUGGGUAGCAAACAGG
rnacentral:rRNA from 1 species